rnacentral:rRNA from 1 species
GACGAACGCUGGCGGCGUGCUUAACACAUGCAAGUCGAACGGAAAGGCCCUGCUUUUGUGGGGUGCUCGAGUGGCGAACGGGUGAGUAACACGUGAGUAACCUGCCCUUGACUUUGGGAUAACUUCAGGAAACUGGGGCUACUACCGGAUAGGAGCUCCUGCUGCAUGGUGGGGGUUGGAACGUUUCGGCGGUUGGGGAUGGACUCGCGGCUUAUCAGCUUGUUGGUGGGGUAGUGGCUUACCAAGGCUUUGACGGGUAGCCGGCCUGAGAGGGUGACCGGCCACAAGGGGACUGAGAGACGGCGCAGACGCGUACGGGAGACAGCAGUGGGGAAUAUUGCACAAUGGGCGGAAGCCGGAUGCAGAAACGCCGCGUGCGGGAUGACGGCCUUCGGGUUGUAAACCGCUUUCGCCUGUGACGAAGCGUGAGUGACGGUAAUGGGUAAAGAAGCACCGGCUAACUACGUG